GCCAUAGGUGGAUAACUUGAUCGGUAGAACAUGAGACACUUAAUCUCAAGGUCGUGGGUUCGAGCCCCAUGUUAGGCA